CCACAUCCCUCUCCUACAGAAACCCCAGAGCACAGCACCUCACCAUGGACUGGACCUGGAAGAUCCUCUUCUGGGUGGCAGCAGCUACAGGUGUCCACUCUCAAGUGCAGCUGGUGCAGUCUGGGGCUGAGGUGAAGAAGCCUGGGGCUUCCAUGAAGGUCUCCUGCAAGGCUUCUGGAUACACCUUCACUGACUACUACAUGAACUGGGUGCGACAGGCCCCUGGAAAAGGGCUUGAGUGGAUGGGAGAUAUUGAUCCUGAAAAUGGUGAAACAAGCUAUGCACAGAAGUUCCAGGGCAGAGUCACCAUGACAGCAGACACGUCCACAAGCACAGCCUACAUGGAGCUGAGAAGCCUGAGAUCUGAGGACACAGCCGUGUAUUACUGUGCAAGAUACACAGUGUGAAAAACACAUCCUGAGAGUGUCAGAAACCCUGAGGGAGGAAGCAGCUGUCCUGGGGCUGAAGAGAUGACAGGACAUAUGAGGUUUAAACGUGUUUAGAA